rnacentral:rRNA from 1 species
AGAGUUUGAUCAUGGCUCAGAGUGAACGCUGGCGGCAGGCCUAACACAUGCAAGUCGAACGGCAGCACGGCAGUAGCAAUACUGUGGGUGGCGAGUGGCGGACGGGUGAGGAAUACAUCGGGAUCUACCCUGUUGUGGGGGAUAACGUAGGGAAACUUACGCUAAUACCGCAUAAGAACUGAGGUUGAAAGCGGCGGACCGCAAGGCGUCGCGCGAUUGGAUGAACCGAUGUCCGAUUAGCUAGUUGGCGGGGUAAAGGCCCACCAAGGCGACGAUCGGUAGCUGGUCUGAGAGGACGAUCAGCCACACGGGAACUGAGACACGGUCCCGACUCCUACGGGGGGCAGCAGUGAGGAAUAUUGGGCAAUGGGCGGAAGCCUGACCCAGCAACGCCGCGUGAGUGAAGAAGGCCUUCGGGUUGUAAAGCUCUUUCGGUGGGGAAGAAAUUGCUUGGGUUAAUACCCUGAGUAGAUGACGGUACCCGCAUAAGAAGCACCGGCUAACUACGUG